UUUUGUUUGUUUGUUUUGCUUUACGAUUGUCCCCUGAGCUAGCCUCUGUUGCCCUGCUUCCUCAGUUUAAGAUGGCGGAUUUCUCAGUGUUGCUGUUUCGCCAGAUCUCGACGCCCUUGUGUCUUUUUUUUCUGCCUAAUGGUUGGCACCUGAGCUAGCAUCUGUUGCCCAUCUUCUUCAGUUUGAGAGGGUAGAUUUCUCGGUGUUGCUUUUUCGCCAGGUCUCCACGCCCUUGUGUUUUGUUUUUGCUUACACAUUGCCACCUGAGCUAGCCUCUGCUGCCCAUCUUCGUCAGUUUCAGAGGGUGGAUUUCUCAGUGUUGCUUUUUCCCCAGGUCUCCACGCCCUUGUGUGUUUCUUUUGCUUAACGAUUGCCACCUGAGGUAGCCUCUGUUGCCCAACUUCCUCAGUUUCAGAGGGUGGAUUACUCAGUGUUGCUUUUUUCCCAGGUCUCCAGGCCAUUGUGUGUGUCUUUUGCUUAGCAAUUGCCACCUCAGCUAGCCUCUGUUGCCCAUCUUCGCCAGUUUCAGAUGGUGGAUUUAUCAGUGUUGAUUUUUCCCCAGGUCUCCACUUCCCUCAGUGUCUGUGUGUGUGUGUUUUCUUUGCAAGAUUGGCACCUUUCCUUACGUGUGUUGCAGAUCUUUGUCAGUUUCAGAGGGAAGAUUAAUCAGUGUUGCUGUUUCCCAGGACUGCACGCCCUUGUGUUUUGUUUUUGCUUACACAUUGCCACCUGAGCUAGCCUAUGUAGCCCAUCUUCGUCAGUUUUAGAGGGUAGAUUUCUCAGCGUUGCUCUUUCCCAAUGUCUCCACGCCCUUGUGUGUUUCUUUUGCUUAAAGUUUGCCACCUGAAGCCAGCCUCUCUUGCCCAUCUUCCUCAGUUUCAGAGGGUAGAUAUUUCAGGGUUGCUUUUUCCCCAGGUCUCCACGCCUUUGUGUUUUGUUUUUGCUUAACGAUUGCCACCUGAGCUAGCCUCUGUUGCCCAUCUUCCUCAGUUUCAGAGGGUGGAUUUCUCCGUGUUGCUUUUUCCCCAGGUCUCCACGCCCUUGUGUGUUUCUUUUGCUUAACGAUUGCCACCUGAGGUAGCCUCUGUUGCCCAUCCUCGUCAGUUUCAGAGGGUAGAUUUCUCAGUGCUGCUUUUUCCCCAGGUCUCCACGCCCUUGUGUGUUUCUUUUGCUUAACGAUUGCCACCUCAGCUAGCCUCUGUUGCCCAUCUUCGUCAGUUUCAGAGGGUGGAUUUCUCAGUGUUGCUUUUUCCCCAGGUCUCCACGCCCUUGUGUGUUUCUUUUGCUUAACGAUUGCCACCUCAGCUAGCCUCUGUUGCUCAUCUUCGUCUGUUUCAGAGGGUGGAUUUCUCAGUGUUGCCUUUUCACCAGCUCCCCACGCCCUUGUGUGUUUCUUUUGCUUAACGAUUGCCACCUCAGCUAGCCUCUGUUGCCCAUCUUCGUCAGUUUCAGAGGGUGGAUUUCCCAGUUGUGCUUUUUCCCCAGGUCUCCACGCGCUUUUGUGUGUGUGUGUGUGUGUGUGUGUGUGUGUUCCUGCUUAAAGAUUGCCACCCGAGCUAGCCACUGUUUCCCAUCUUCGUCCGUUUCAGAGGAUGGAUUUCUCAGUGUUGCCUUUUCGCCAGCUCCCCACGCCCUUGUGUGUUUCUUUUGCUUAAAGAUUGCCACCUGAGCUAGCCUCUGUUGCGCUUCUUUCUCAGUUUCAGAGGGUAGAUUUCUCCGUGUUGCUUUUUCCCCAGGUCUCCACGCACUUCCUUUUAUUUUUCCUUAAAAAUUGCCACCUGAGCUAGCCUCUGUUGCCCAUCUUCGUCGGUUUCAGAGGGUAGAUUUCUCAGUGUUGCUUUUUCCCCAGGUCUCUACGUGCUUGUGUGUGUGUGUGUGUGUGUGUGUGUGUGUGUGUGUGUUUUCUGCUUAAAGAUUGCCACCUGAGCUAGCCCCUGUUGCCCAUCUUCGUCGGUUUCAGAGGGUAGAUUUCUCAGCGUUGCUUUUUCCCCAG
rnacentral:lncRNA from 1 species